CUAUGCUGGGACAAGAUAUCUGAAACGAGGAUUGAAUGAAAAGGGAAGAGUAGCUAAUGAUGUUGAGACAGAGCAGAUAGUCUUUGCAGAUUCUCGUGAUAGAAGCCCGAUGAAAAUAAGUUUCGUGGUGCAUAUCCGGGGUUCAAUCCCUAUGUUCUGAUCUCAAGAAGCCUCUCCAUUGAACAUAAAACCUGACAUUAUAUUAUCAAAGAAGGACAACACCUUUAAAGCCACAAGGCUUCAUUUUGAAAAUCUUGUUAAGAGAUAUGGAAAUCCAAUUAUCAUAUUGAACUUGAUUAAGACACAUGAGAAGAAGCCACGAGAAACUAUUCUGCGAGCCGAGUUUGCUAAUGCUGUUAGGUCUAUCAACAAAAAUAUGAAAGGGGAAAAUCGACUGAUGUUCCUCCAUUGGGAUUUGCAUCGACACUCAAGACGCAGCAAAGCUACUAAUGUGUUGACCCAACUGGGGAAAGUGGCUGCAUAUGCGUUGAAGCUGACUGGCGUCUUCUACUGUUUCCUGACACCAAACUUGACACCAGAGGGACUGUUCCAAUAUUCCUUCACAGGGAAUUAUAUUGCAUAGACUGCUUGGAUUUUUUUAACAAUAACCAGGAAUUACUGCUGCAAUAUGUCAUGAGGUCACAAGUUAAUUCAUUAUUUGGAGAGAUCGUGUUAGUGUUGUGCUAUUUUAACUGACAUGGAUGGUAUCAGAUGUCAUAUAGAUUGGCUUUUUUACAUUUUUUUUUUGUUCAAGCAUAUAUAAUAUUGAGAAACGAAGCUGAUUAUGAUUUUGUCUAUCUCUCAAGCCACUUUCAUACUCUUUUUGAUAAUGUUAUGAAUAUUUUCUCAGAAAACAAAGAGGGCUCCAAAGGUUGAAGUUGGGACUAGAUCAACAGAUGCUUCAAUGGAUGAAUGGCUCGAGGUCUGUAUGAAUGCCGUAUACAACAAUAUCGGAUUCCAUGUCUCAGAUCAAAGAAGAAGUAGAUGAACAAAUACAUUCAAGUUUCAACCAUACAAGAGUCUGCCAUGGAGUGAAGCAUCAUGUAACUCAGAUUAGAUUGGAGAGUUUAAACUUUAAAGGGAGCAUGAGGAAAUAGUUUUAAAAUUUAGGCUGAAAGUCCUGCCCUUCUCUGUUGUAGUUUAAAAAAAUUUUUAGGGUAUCUUUUUAUUGAGACAGUGAGAUAUUGAAUAAUGGUGUUAAAAAAUAACAUCCAAUUUUAUAGGUAUCAUGUAAUGAAUAUUAUGUUUAUCUAUGUGAUUUUUGGCUUUCUUCUUUU